rnacentral:tRNA from 6 species
GCGGGCAUAGCUCAAUGGUAGAGUACCGGCUUCCCAAGCCGGGUGUUGUGGGUUCGAGUCCCAUUGCCCGCUCCA